AUUGAACGCUGGCGGCAGGCCUAACACAUGCAAGUCGAGCGGAUGAAGGGAGCUUGCUCCUGGAUUCAGCGGCGGACGGGUGUGUAAUGCCUAGGAAUCUGCCUGGUAGUGGGGGAUAACGUCCGGAAACGGGCGCUAAUACCGCAUACGUCCUGAGGGAGAAAGUGGGGGAUCUUCGGACCUCACGCUAUCAGAUGAGCCUAGGUCGGAUUAGCUAGUUGGUGGGGUAAAGGCCUACCAAGGCGACGAUCCGUAACUGGUCUGAGAGGAUGAUCAGUCACACUGGAGCUGGGACACGGUCCAGACUCCUACGGGAGGCAGCAGUGGGGAAUGUUGGGCAGUGGGCGAAAGCCUGAUCCAGCCAUGCCGAGUGUGUGAAGAAGGUCUUCGGAUUGUAAAGCACUUUAAGUUGGGGGGAAGGGCAGUAAGUUAAUACCUUGCUGGUUUGACGUUACCAACAGAAUAAGCACCGGCUAACUUCGUG
rnacentral:rRNA from 1 species